rnacentral:rRNA from 1 species
GACAGCGGGUGCAACCGUUGUUCGGAAUUACUGGGCGUAAAGCGCGUGUAGGCGGCUAAGUAAGUCGGGCGUGAAAUCCCACGGCUCAACCGUGGAAGUGCACUCGAAACUGCAUAGCUAGAGUCCUGGAGAGGAAGGUGGAAUGCUUGGUGUAGAGGUGAAAUUCGUAGAUAUCAAGCGGAACACCGGUGGCGAAGGCGGCCUUCUGGACAGUGACUGACGCUGAGACGCGAAAGCGUGGGGAGCAAACAGG